ensembl:ncRNA
CACAGUUGCUGUUUCUUUUAGAU